GUCGAAAGAUAUUUUUUCUAAUUUUUAAUCUAAUUAUCAAUAUGGUUAUUUAUUUAUUAGUUUAAUAAAUUAAAUUAGUUAAAUUUACAAAUAAUUAUAAGAUUUAUUAAUUAUUUUUAGUAGUUUAGGCUAACUAAGCUAGUUAAACCUUUAGAAUAUUGAAUUUAACCAAGUUAAACCCAACUUGGUUAGUUUUAUAAAGGAACCAACUAACUGAGUUAGAAAACUCAGUUAGUUCAGUUAAUCAUAAAUAAAAAUAAGGAGGCUUAUGCCCGGAUUCGAACUCGUGACCUUACCUUCAGCAAACGCGCAUACAACCACUCCACCAUAACUCAGCUUUGUUAUUAUAUCAUGAUCCUUCGAUAUAUAAAUCCGAGAUUGGCGCUGGUUUCCUUUUUGAACGAAGUUGCCGCCCACAACCUUUCACAGUCUGUUUCUUUCCUUUUCUUCUUUACGUGAUUUUCGGUUCCUGUAAUCACGAAACAUAUAUCAAUUCCGUGUUUCCAUAUUAAAACCCAAUCAUGAAUCGAGACAUGUAUACAACUCGCAUACGGAACGAGCGAAGUCUAUAAAUACCGAGCCCUCAACCAUUUCGACACACACCAUUCGAAAAACCCUCUCUACUCUCAUUCUAAAACACCAUCACGUAAACUCAUCCCCCUCUCGACAAGACCGCAACCUUUUCGAAUCAAUGGCCCGGUGCUCAAACUCUCUGUUAAAACCUUGUCGGAACACUAGUACGUUGCCAGACUAACCCGAUACAUAUAGCCACCCUCUCACCGUUUCUUCACUCGCGAGAACGAUAACGAACACAUGUCGGAGCACCCUUGCAACUUGCCGGAGUUACCGGAGCCGUACGAAGAUCGUGACAAGAAACCGUUUCCUGUUCGUUUCACUGAGCACGUCGCAUGGGUUCGGAGUUUGCCGGAGAUCGGUUCCUGUUGUUUCGGUUAAUCACUCUCGUUCGCUCUCUUGGAUACUCCAUCUUUACUCGUACAUUCUUACAAGGAAGCGCAACGCACUCCAAGGUUGAAAGUACAAGAUUCAAGAAUCAAGCUAGGAUGAACUCUAGAAACCCACA